rnacentral:lncRNA from 1 species
CCCUGUUUUUCUGUAAUGGCCGUGUUUUUUACUGUAAUGGCCCUGUAUUAAUGCCCAGUUUGUCUGUAUUAAGCCCAGUUAGGGUUUUUAAUAAAGUUAAUAAAAUUGAAUUGUAAAGAGUAUAAUAUAAAAAAGAAGAUGUGGUAUGAUUGCCAAUGAGACAACUCUACACAAAAGACCAAAAUGACACAGACAUUAACAACUAUAGGUCACCGUACGACCUUCAACAAUGAGCAAAGGCCAUACCGCAUAGUCAGCUAUAAAAGGCCCCGAUAAGAUAAUGUAAAACAAUUCAAACGAGAAAACUAACGGCCUUAUUUAUGUAAAAAAAAUGAACGAAAAACAAAUAUAUAACACAUAAACAAACGACAACCACUGAAUUACAGGCUCCUGACUUGGGACAGGCACAUACAUAAAUAAUAAAAUACCUAUUUUAUUUUAUUUAGUAACCAGCAACCAACAUUAAAGAAACAUAUUAAGGGAUCACUGUUCAUCCUUUUUUUUCAACACAUAACUUCUUUCAACUUUAUAUCUUGGAUAUUUG